rnacentral:rRNA from 1 species
GACAGGGGUGGCAAGCGUUGUUCGGAGUGACUGGGCGUAAAGGGUCUGUAGGUGGUUUUUCAAGUCUUUGGUAAAAAGCUGUGGCUCAACCACAGUGCGGCCAAGGAGACUGGGAGACUCGAGGCUGGGAGAGGGAAGCGGAAUUUCUGGUGUAGCGGUGAAAUGCGUAGAGAUCAGAAAGAAGGCCGGUGGCGAAGGCGGCUUCCUGGAACAGACCUGACACUGAGAGACGAAAGCGUGGGGAGCAAACAGGAUUAGAUACCCUGGUAGUCCACGCCCUAAACGAUGGGUACUAAGUGUGGGGAGCAAUCCCUGUGCCGCAGCUAACGCAAUAAGUACCCCGCCUGGGGAGUACGGCCGCAAGGUUGAAACUCAAAGGAA